AUGGUUAAGUUAGAAAGGGCGCACGGUGAAUGCCUUGGCACUAGGAGCCGAUGAAGGACGGGACUAACACCGAUAUGCUUCGGGGAGCUGUAAGUGAGCUUUGAUCCGGAGAUUUCCGAAUGGGGAAACCCACUGUUCGUAAUGGAACAGUAUCUUUAUCUGAAUACAUAGGAUAUUGAAGGCAGACCCGGGGAACUGAAACAUCUAAGUACCCGGAGGAAGAGAAAGCAAAUGCGAUUUCCUGAGUAGCGGCGAGCGAAACGGAAUUAGCCCAAACCAAGAGGCUUGCCUCUUGGGGUUGUAGGACACUCUAUACGGAGUUACAAAGGAACGAAGUAAAUGAAGCGACCUGGAAAGGUCCGUCGAAGAAGGUAACAACCCUGUAGUUGAAACUUCGUUCCCUCUUGAGUGGAUCCUGAGUACGGCGGAACACGUGAAAUUCCGUCGGAAGCUGGGAGGACCAUCUCCCAAGGCUAAAUACUACCUAGUGACCGAUAGUGAACCAGUACCGUGAGGGAAAGGUGAAAAGCACCCCGGAAGGGGAGUGAAAGAGAUCCUGAAACCGUGUGCCUACAAGUAGUCAGAGCCCGUUAACGGGUGAUGGCGUGCCUUUGUAGAAUGAACCGGCGAGUUACGAUCCCAUGCAAGGUUAAGCUGAUAAGGCGGAGCCGUAGCGAAAGCGAGUCUGAAUAGGGCGUUUAGUAUGUGGUUGUAGACCCGAAACCAGGUGAUCUACCCAUGUCCAGGGUGAAGUUCAGGUAACACUGAAUGGAGGCCCGAACCCACGCACGUUGAAAAGUGCGGGGAUGAGGUGUGGGUAGCGGAGAAAUUCCAAUCGAACCUGGAGAUAGCUGGUUCUCUCCGAAAUAGCUUUAGGGCUAGCCUCAUGUUGUGAGAGUCUUGGAGGUAGAGCACUGAUUGGACUAGGGGCCCCCAACGGGUUACCGAAUUCAGUCAAACUCCGAAUGCCAAAGACUUAUCCAUGGGAGUCAGACUGCGAGUGAUAAGAUCCGUAGUCAAAAGGGAAACAGCCCAGACCACCAGCUAAGGUCCCCAAGUAUACGUUAAGUGGAAAAGGAUGUGGAGUUGCUUAGACAACCAGGAUGUUGGCUUAGAAGCGUACCACCAUUUAAAGAGUGCGUAAUAGCUCACUGGUCGAGUGACUCUGCGCCGAAAAUGUACCGGGGCUAAACGUAUCACCGAAGCUGUGGAUUGACAUCUUUGAUGUCAGUGGUAGGAGAGCGUUCUAAGUGCUGUGAAGUCAGACCGUAAGGACUGGUGGAGCGCUUAGAAGUGAGAAUGCCGGUAUGAGUAGCGAAAGACAAGUGAGAAUCUUGUCCACCGAAUGCCUAAGGUUUCCUGAGGAAGGCUCGUCCGCUCAGGGUUAGUCGGGACCUAAGCCGAGGCUGAAAAGCGUAGGCGAUGGCCAACAGGUUGAUAUUCCUGUACCACCUCCCCGCCGUUUGAGUAAUGGGGGGACGCAGUAGGAUAGGGUAAGCGCGCUGCUGGAUAUGCGCGUUCAAGCAGUUAGGCUGAUGAGUAGGCAAAUCCGCUCAUCAUAAAGGCUGAGCUGUGAUGACGAGGGAAUUAUAGUACCGAAGUUCCUGAUUCCACACUGCCAAGAAAAGCCUCUAGCGAGGCGGGAGGUGCCCGUACCGCAAACCGACACAGGUAGGCGAGGAGAGAAUCCUAAGGUGAUCGAGAGAACUCUCGUUAAGGAACUCGGCAAAAUGACCCCGUAACUUCGGGAGAAGGGGUGCUCUGGUAGGGUGUAUAGCCCGAGAGAGCCGCAGUGAAUAGGCCCAGGCGACUGUUUAGCAAAAACACAGGUCUCUGCGAAGCCGCAAGGCGAAGUAUAGGGGCUGACGCCUGCCCGGUGCUGGAAGGUUAAGAGGAGGGGUUAUCCUUUGGGAGAAGCUCUGAAUCGAAGCCCCAGUAAACGGCGGCCGUAACUAUAACGGUCCUAAGGUAGCGAAAUUCCUUGUCGGGUAAGUUCCGACCCGCACGAAAGGCGUAACGAUCUGGGCACUGUCUCAACGAGAGACUCGGUGAAAUUAUAGUACCUGUGAAGAUGCAGGUUACCCGCGACAGGACGGAAAGACCCCGUGGAGCUUUACUGUAGCCUGAUAUUGAAUUUUGGUACAGCUUGUACAGGAUAGGUAGGAGCCUGAGAAGCCGGAGCGCUAGCUUCGGUGGAGGCGUCGGUGGGAUACUACCCUGGCUGUAUUGAAAUUCUAACCCGCGGCCCUGAUCGGGCCGGGAGACAGUGUCAGGUGGGCAGUUUGACUGGGGCGGUCGCCUCCUAAAAUGUAACGGAGGCGCCCAAAGGUUCCCCUCAGAAUGGUUGGAAAUCAUUCGUAGAGUGUAAAGGCACAAGGGAGCUUGACUGCGAGACCUACAAGUCGAGCAGGGACGAAAGUCGGGCUUAGUGAUCCGGUGGUUCCGCAUGGAAGGGCCAUCGCUCAACGGAUAAAAGCUACCCCGGGGAUAACAGGCUUAUCUCCCCCAAGAGUCCACAUCGACGGGGAGGUUUGGCACCUCGAUGUCGGCUCAUCGCAUCCUGGGGCUGUAGUCGGUCCCAAGGGUUGGGCUGUUCGCCCAUUAAAGCGGUACGCGAGCUGGGUUCAGAACGUCGUGAGACAGUUCGGUCCCUAUCCGUCGUGGGCGUAGGAAAUUUGAGAGGAGCUGUCCUUAGUACGAGAGGACCGGGAUGGACACACCGCUGGUGUACCAGUUGUCUUGCCAAAGGCAUCGCUGGGUAGCUAUGUGUGGACGGGAUAAGUGCUGAAAGCAUCUAAGCAUGAAGCCCCCCUCAAGAUGAGAUUUCCCAUAGCGCAAGCUAGUAAGAUCCCUGAAAGAUGAUCAGGUUGAUAGGUCAGAGGUGGAAGCGUGGCGACAUGUGUAGCUGACUGAUACUAAUCGAUCGAGGACUUAACCAAAA
rnacentral:rRNA from 1 species